UACAGAGGGUGCGAGCGUUAAUCGGAAUUACUGGGCGUAAAGCGUGCGUAGACGGUUAUUUAAGUCGGAUGUGAAAGCCCCGGGCUCAACCUGGGAAUUGCAUUCGAGACUGAAUAGCUAGGGUACGGUAGAGGGAAGUGGAAUUUCCGGUGUAGCGGUGAAAUGCGUAGAUAUCGGAAGGAACAUCAGUGGCGAAAGCGACUUCCUGGACCAGUACCGACGUUCAGGCACGAAAGCGUGGGGAGCAAGCAGG
rnacentral:rRNA from 1 species